rnacentral:rRNA from 1 species
GGAUCAGUAGGUUGGUCGUGCCACCGGUACGUACUGGUCUCACUGAUUCCUCCUUCCUGAAGAACCGUAAUGCCAUUAAUUUGGUGUUGCGGGGAAACAGGACUGUUACUUUGAAAAAAUUAGAGUGUUUAAAGCAAGCUAACGCUUGAAUACAUUAGCAUGGAAUAAUGAAAUAGGACGAUCGAUCCUAUUUUGUUGGCUUCUAGGAUUGACGUA